UACGUAGGGUGCAAGCGUUAAUCGGAAUUACUGGGCGUAAAGCGUGCGCAGGCGGCUUUGCAAGACAGAUGUGAAAUCCCCGGGCUCAACCUGGGAGCUGCAUUUGUGACUGCAUGGCUGGAGUGCGGCAGAGGGGGAUGGAAUUCCGCGUGUAGCAGUGAAAUGCGUAGAUAUGCGGAGGAACACCGAUGGCGAAGGCAAUCCCCUGGGCCUGCACUGACGCUCAUGCACGAAAGCGUGGGGAGCAAGCAGG
rnacentral:rRNA from 1 species